rnacentral:rRNA from 1 species
AUUGAACGCUGGCGGAAUGCUUUACACAUGCAAGUCGAACGGCAGCACGGACUUCGGUCUGGUGGCGAGUGGCGAACGGGUGAGUAACAUAUCGGAACGUAUCCAAUAAUGGGGGAUAACUAAUCGAAAGGUUGGCUAAUACCGCAUACGCCCUACGGGGGAAAGCAGGGGAUCUUCGGACCUUGCGUUAAUGGAGCGGCUGAUAUCUGAUUAGCUAGUUGGUGAGGUAAAGGCUCACCAAGGCGACGAUCAGUAGCUGGUCUGAGAGGACGACCAGCCACACUGGAACUGGGACACGGUCCAGACUCCUACGGGAGGCAGCAGUGGGGAAUUUUGGACAAUGGGCGCAAGCCUGAUCCAGCCAUUCCGCGUGAGUGAAGAAGGCCUUCGGGUUGUAAAGCUCUUUCGCAAGGGAAGAAAACUUACUUUCUAAUAAAGAGUGAGGUUGACGGUACCUUGAUAAGAAGCACCGGCUAACUACGUGCCAGCAGCCGCGGUAA